UGAAUUAAUCUGGAGAGAAUGUCUAUCUUUCUAAGACUGGGCCUUCUUAUUCUGGAACAUACCAUGUCUCUUCAUUGAUUCAGUGUUUGUCUGCAUGGAGGCAUGUGUGAAUACAUUCAUUCAGCACUCCCUGAGCACCUACUAUGUGUCAAACACGAUGCUAAAUCCUGGUGGACGCAAGGAUGAACAAGAGAAACCGGAAGAUGAAUGAAAAAAUGAAGGAAAGCUGUGGCACUCCUCCCCACCCUCUCCCCUUCCCCACCCCCGGCUGGAAGACGCUCCUGUCCAAAUGGGAAAUUGAAGCUAAAAUAGCACAAUAAAGGAAAGGAAGCAGAUGGGCUCCCACUCGCUGUCCCGAGGAAUGUGCUGACUGUUCAGGAACAGGCCUUUGGCAGUCACUUAACACAAUCACGAAGCAAAAGGAAAUGAUCAAGUCUGUCAUCAGGGUCAGUGCCAAUUUAUUUAAGAAAGUGGCAAGGCUGAAGAGGAGGAUGUGGGGAAUGGGAGGCCCCAUACAUUCCUGGAGCUCAUUCACAAAACCCCCCGGGGUGGCAGUGCCAGGUGAAUGUGGCUGGAGAAGCAUCCCCCCGCCCCAUUUCAUCCUUUCCAACGUCCCUGAGCGAGCAGCCUUGACCAGAGGCUGGGACUGGGGACUUUGAGCCAGGCACGA